rnacentral:rRNA from 1 species
GACGAACGCUGGCGGCGUGCUUAACACAUGCAAGUCGAACGGUGAAGCGCCUUCCUUUUUGGUGGGUGUGGAUGAGUGGCGAACGGGUGCGUAACACGUGAGUAACCUGCCCCCUUCUACUGGAUAACCGCAUGAAAGUGUGGCUAAUACGGGAUAUGCUGGGUCUGUCGCAUGAUGGGUCUGGGAAAGAUAUUGUUUCGGUGGGGGAUGGGCUCGCGGCGUAUUAGCUUGUUGGUGGGGUGGUGGCCUACCAAGGCGGCGAUGAGUAGCCGGCCUGAGAGGAGGGUGGGCGACCAUACAGGGGCGGCGCGGCGGAGCCGACUACGACAGGCGGCAGUGGUGGGGAAUAGUGAACGAGGGGCGCAAGGCUGAUGCCGCGACGCGGCGUGAGGGAUGGAGGCCGGCGGGUUGUGAACCUCUUGCGCGAGUGAAGCACGCUAGCCUCGUUUGUUGGUGGGUUGACGGUAGCUGGAUAAGAAGCGCCGGCUAACUACGUG